rnacentral:rRNA from 1 species
CAUGCAAGUAGAACGGUAACAGUCCUUCGGGAGCUGACGAGUUGCGAACGGGUGCGUAACGCGUAUGCAACCUACCUAUAACUGAGGGAUAGCCCAUAGAAAUGUGGAUUAAUACCUCAUAACAACUAAAGAUGGCAUCAUCUUAAGUUUAAAACUCCGGUGGUUAUAGAUGGGCAUGCGUGACAUUAGCUAGUUGGUGAGGUAACUGCUCACCAAGGCAACGAUGUCUAGGGGUUCUGAGAGGAUGAUCCCCCACACUGGUACUGAGACACGGACCAGACUCCUACGGGAGGCAGCAGUGAGGAAUAUUGCGCAAUGGAGGAAACUCUGACGCAGCCAUGCCGCGUGCAGGAUGACUGCCCUAUGGGUUGUAAACUGCUUUUAUAUAGGAAGAACUACAGAUACGUGUAUUUGUUUGACGGUACUAUACGAAUAAGGACCGGCUA